AACAAAACGUUAAAUGUUUUGUAAAAAUACAAAAUAUUUCAUUAAAACGAAAAUCAGCCAUUUUGGUGGUUGUUCUCAUCUGCAGGGAAAGAAAACGUUAAACACUUGACUGGUCGAAGCAAAAAUUUAGACAUAAAAAGAUAUAAUAUAGAUACGAUAAGUUGUGGAAUAAUAAUUGUUUUAGAUUUUAGGGAUACAAUAAUAAAAAGCAAUAAAGAUCGGGAGGGGGAUUAACCCCCUCUCUUAAUAGCCACGAAACGUCAAGAUUUCCCGUAUAGAGUUCAUCGAAAAAUGGGGGCUAACCCCUGUCCUCAAGCCGAGGCAGGAUUUACGCCCCCACCGAAACGGUGCAGAAGAUUGUGGAGAUUUGAGAUCAAUACCUAAAUUAUUCAAUCAAGAUGAUGAUGGACCAAAUGUUCAAAAUGAGUACGGUGGUAUAACUCAUUUUGAACCUAUACCACAUGAUCACGAUUUUUGUGAAAGAAUUGUUAUAAAUGUAAGCGGAUUACGAUUCGAAACACAACUAAGGACUCUCAAUCAAUUUCCAGAUACAUUACUUGGAGAUCCAGCAAGGAGGAUACGUUAUUUUGAUCCACUACGCAACGAAUAUUUCUUUGACCGUAAUCGACCAUCAUUCGAUGCUAUUUUGUAUUAUUAUCAAAGUGGUGGUCGUUUACGUAGGCCUGUUAAUGUGCCUCUAGAUGUUUUCUCCGAAGAAAUAAAAUUUUAUGAACUUGGCGAAUUGGCAACUAAUAA